GAUGGAAGGAUAUAUCUGAAAUGUUUUAACAGAUUCAUCCCUACAUAGUGUUGACAUACUUGGUCAUCAAGAUCAAGCUUUCAGUUUGUCAAGUGGGAGACAGAGAAAGAAAUUCACUGUUUUAUACAGAAAGCUGAAGGCAAAUGAGUAGUUAUAAUGGAAGGUCUUGGAGGAUCUGUAGGGGAUUCUGAAAUGGCUGUUGAGAGCUCUCAAGAAUGAGAAGGCCAGGUAAUGUGUGUUGGCAUUUUUCUCUUGGAUGUUGUUGUCUGUGGUGCUAGCUAAAGGAUGUAGAAAUUCCCAGUAUUUUUAUCAAACAUGAACAUGGUUUUUCUACUGCUGUUACAGGUCCAUAGGAGUGGGUGAUCUGAGAGUGCAGCAGGAAUUCAGCCCUGAAGAAACAACAAGCAAAAGCUGUUUGAAGGAGUGGGAAGUGGUGUCAGAGAAUUGCAUUGUUCCUGAAAUUGCUUACAGCAACUGCAAGGUCCCUUCUUAAAAAGAUAAGAAAGUAUGAUCGUGGCACUAAAAUAGAUACUGGAUUCUGCUCAGCUGAAGGAUGCCUUCUGAGUGCAGAGCCCUACAUGAGGGGAACCCAAUGCAUCAGCUUGCCGAGCAUCCUGCUGGCCAAAAUAUACCUGGGUGUUGUGCCUAGAGGUUUUAAUUUUCGUGCAAGGGCAGUACAACAAUCUCCAGUGAACCCUGCAGUGGCUCUGCAGUGAACCAGGCUGGGGAACUGAACCUGAAAUGGAUAGACUCAUUCAGGAAGAAAAAGUGGAACUUUUUAUUCACUAGUGGGGCCAAACUCGCUUAAUGCUUGCCAAACCUUCACCAAGCAAAAAAUUGCC
rnacentral:lncRNA from 1 species